rnacentral:rRNA from 1 species
GACGUAGGGCGCGAGCGUUGUCCGGAUUUAUUGGGCGUAAAGAGCUCGUAGGCGGCUUGUCGCGUCGUUCGUGAAAACCUGCAGCUCAACUGCAGGCUUGCGGUCGAUACGGGCAGGCUAGAGUUCGGUAGGGGAGACUGGAAUUCCUGGUGUAGCGGUGGAAUGCGCAGAUAUCAGGAAGAACACCCGUGGCGAAGGCGGCUCUCUGGAACGCAACUGACGCUGAAGACGCGAAAGCGUGGGGGAGCAAACAGG